rnacentral:rRNA from 1 species
AUGGCGGAACGAAAAAGAGUGCCACGGCAACUACAACGGAAAUGGUACCACGGUAACAUAUCUGAUGAUCUGGCAAUGCGUGGAAGCGCCGGUGCAAAAGAACAAGCAUCGGUGGACCUUCGAGGGGCUUGCGUAUCCGAAGGUGUACUUGGUGAUAAUCCCUGUUCGGUGGUCGAACUUGGCGUCAACAGCAACAGCAAGUGGAGGUGCAUGAUGAUAGUGGGGCGUCGCGCUCGUCCACUACGGCGGACAGGGCAUGCAGGUCGUGGUGGUACUGCUCGAGGUAGCAGCAGGAGAUGGCCGGGUCGGGUGCUUGUCAGCAGGCAGCGAAACAAGCUGCUGCUGCUCGAAGAAGGCGGCGGCACGCUUGCGGCUGAACGGAGGGAGGAAGAGGCACGGGCGCGAGGUGGCCCUCAGCUGCCAUGGCCGGAGGCGAGGCAGAGCAGCGAGCUGGAAGUUGAGGUCGUUGGAGGACUAGCUCGCCGGAGUGGCGAGCCAAGCCUCUUCUUGUGGCAAUGGCAGCGAGGAGGAGGCCGUAAAGGGAGUAGAGGAACGGCGGAGCAGAGGACGGGGUCGCCGGAGGCGAUGUUGGCGCAGCACGGCUGGAUGCGCGGGCGCCAUGGCGGGGAGGCGACAAAGCGGAGGUGCUCGAGGCGCGGGAGGGAGAAAAGUCAUGGGGCGGAGCUGACGGAGGAAGGAGGUCAGGCGCUGGAGGGAGAUGGGGACUGA